UGCUAGCCUCGGAGGCAUCCCGACGAGACGCGCCGUACCGGGUCAGGACAAGACGACGCACC
rnacentral:ncRNA from 1 species